rnacentral:rRNA from 1 species
AUGGCGCGGCUCUCCGUGACCACCACCACCCUCCUCCUCGCCGCCGUCGCCUUCUUCAUCGCCGCCGGCGCCGCCGAGGCCGGCCAGCCCCACAACGGCGACGCCAUCACCAAGGACUUCGUCUUCGCCCGGGGCAUAAAGCUGCACAUCUCGAAGCAGGGCACGGCGACCGACCACAUCUUCGCCGGGGGCAGCAAGCUCUUCAUCGCGAGGCACGACGCGGCGCCGACCGACCACGCCUUGGCCGGGGGCAGCAAGCUCUUCAUCGCGAGGCACGACGCGGCGCCGGCCGACCACGCCUCCGCCCGGGGCAGCAAGCUGGACGUCACGCAGAGCAAGAUCAGCAUCCCGAAGAAGAGGCUCGCCGUCUCGCAGAGCAAGGCGUCCGUCCAGAAGAAGGGCUUCAUCUUCCUGGAAGGGCCCAAGCUGGGCGGCGGCGGCGCGGCGUCGGCGGACACGGCGGGCGCGGCCCCGGGGGCGGUGCAGGCGUGCGACCAGCUGGAGGCGUACCAGAGGGUGUGCCACACGCUGCUGCACCUGCCCGGGGUGACGACGCCGCGGGCGCUGAUGGAGACGGCGGUGCGGGUGGCGCUGGGGCGGGCGCGGGCGGCCAAGGUGACGUUCGACGCGGCCAAGGCGGCGUCCGGGGCCGGGAACCCGAUGGCGUCCAUCCUGGGGUCGUGCGAGCAGAACUACGACGACCUGGUGGACGCGCUGGAGGGGGUGAGCCGGGCGAUGCACAAGCCCGGCACCAGCAGCGAGAGCCUGGUGGAGAAGAUGACGGCGGCCAGCACCUACGCCGGCGACUGCGACAACUGGUACGAGGAGCGCGACGUCAAGUCGCCCUACGAGGUCAUGCAGCGCCACCUCGCCCAGAUGGUCUCCGUCGCCCUCGGCCUCGCCAACAAGAAGCUCUGA